GAUCCGAGACACAGCCUGUGUUCUGUGUAGGGUACACGAGGAGACAGUGGAUCACCUAUUCUCUCAAUGCGUCUUUAUCAAGUUCUGCAUGGUGAGAAUUCUCGAGGGAGUUCAGGCUGGGGAGCUGGGAGUUGACGUUCUUCAUGUUUGGGAUAGGUGGAUGGCCAAGAAAGGAGUGCACUGUAAGCGGAACAGCCUAUCUGAAUUGGUCGCUUGCUGGUGGACCAUUUGGAAGGUCAGGAACGAAUUGAUUUUUCGAAACAUUAAUUAUGAUCCUGUUUUGGUCGUUCAUAGGAUUAUGCAGCUUCUGAAAUCCUGGAAAUCCCUCCGGCAAUCGAAAUAGUAGCACGGGCCGUUUUUUUUUUUUUUUUUUCCGACUGUUGCAUCUCUCCCAGAGGCCCUGGUUGCCUCACUUCUGUAGCCUAGUUCAUAUAUUCUAUGAAUGAAACAUGUAGCGUGCUACUUUUACCUCAAAAAUAAUAAUAAUAAUAAUUUCACUCACAUCUGAAUAUCAAAU
rnacentral:lncRNA from 1 species